GUGGCAUUGGCAGAUCGGCUGGACUAUCGCGAGACAGGCAUGAAGAGUUGUUGUGAAGAUAAAAAGCCUACUACGUGAAAUUGCGGCGCCGGCGCUGGCAGAGACCGGCUGAACCAACGUGAGACAGGUGGGAAGAGUCGUUGUGAAGACAAAAAAAAUGAAAAGCAUACGUGAAAUUGCAGCGCUGGCAGACUGGCUAAACCAUCGUGAGACAGGUGGGAAGAGUCGUCGCAAUAAAGAAGACCCUUUUCUUUAUAGCAUGUUGUUUUAAGAUUUAAGAUGAUAUGCAUUCGCUGGUUAUUGUUGUAUACUGCUACUAAUUAAGUACUUUAACUCUUCAAACUUUUAUUUUUAUAUUUCCAACAUUUAUUUUCCACUGGCACAAUGUGUUAAUGUGAUUUUAGUGGUAUGGCUUUAAUUGUAUUUUGUUAAUUGAUUAAAUUAAUAUGCUGGUAAAUCUGUAUUGAA